CGACGUAUAAUCUCUCCCCUUACCUCUCCUUUUCUCUCCGUAGUCCUCCCUCCCUCCCUACGUAUAUCUGCCCUUAUACCUCUCCCUUUCUCCUGACAGCCUCCUCCCUUCCUACAGUAUUUCUCUCCCCUAUACCUCUCCUUUCUCUCCUGUCAGUCCUCCCUCACCUACAGAGUAAGAUCUCUCCCCUCUACCCUUCAUUUUCUCUCCUGUCAGCUCCCUCCCUACAGUAUCUCUCCCCUAUUACUCUCCUUUUCUCUCUUCUGUCAGCCUCCCUCCCUACAGUAUAUCCUCCCCUAUAACCUCUCCUUUUCUCUCCUGUCAGCCUCCCUCCCUACAGUUAUCUCUCCCCUUAUACCUCUCUUUUCUCUCCUGUCAGCCCUCCCUCCUCCUCCCAGUAUUAUCUCUCCCUACCUCUCAUUUUCUCUCCUGUCAGUCUCCCUCCCUACAAGUAUAUUCUCCCUUAUACCUCUCCUUUUCUCUUCUGUCAGCCUCCUCUCCUCACAGUAUAUCUCUCCCCUUUAUACUCUCCUUUUCUCUUCUGUCAGCCUCCCCCUACAGUAUAUCUCUCCCUUAUACCUCUCCUUUUCUCUUCUGUCAGCCUCCCUCCCUACAGUAUAUCUCUCCCGUUCUACCUCUCUUUUCUCUGUCAGCUCCCUCCUACAGUAUAUCCUCCCCUUAUACCUCUCCUUUUCUCCUGUCAGCCUCCCUCCCUACAGUAUAUCUCUCCCCUUAUACCUCUCCUUUUCUCCUGUCAGCCUCCCUCCCUACAGUAUAUCUCUCCCCUUCCCCUUCAUUUUACGCACUCAUACAUUCACCCACUCUGUCCUCAGUGUAGACUAGACUGUUGGUGGGUUUUUGCUUUGUAUUACAUUGUAUUAUAAACUUUUAAAAGAUAGAGACAUAAAACAUGGUUUGAGUUCAUAGAAGAGUACAUUAAUGCUUCCGUAGCUAUCAGAGCGAUGCCACAGUGACAGAAUGUAUUAUGUUGAUUUUACUAAUACCCAGAGGCAAGUGUUACGCUUGUUCAAAUAACAUAAAAAAUACUGAUUUGUAGAGUAUCAAUUUGGUGUGUUUUCAAUAAACCAUGCCUGGAAAGAACAUGUUGCCUGUGAAUUUUGUGUUGAUAUUCCAUUCCAAGAAGACCAAGGAUCUAUACAGCUUCAUGAAUUUUUACCUCAAGCCAAAAUCCAUUCCCAAUAAAUAAUAUAUUGUAGAAGUUGUUACUAAUGUCACAUUGUCAUAUGGUUAAAAGAGACUCAUGCUACUGUCGUGUCUUUGGCAUCAUUAAACUGAAGACUGUUAUUUUAUCAAAUCAAUUCAGUAAUUAUUAUUAUGUGAUUAAACUAAUCACGUAAAUGUAAUUAACUUGGAAGGUGGGGCACCAAGGAAAAUAUUCAGAUUACAAAGUUAUAAUUUUCCUAAUAUAACUUUCAAAUAUUUAAACAUCU
rnacentral:lncRNA from 1 species